ensembl:lncRNA
CAAGGCUGCCUUUUUUCAGAAGUUGGACUUUUUGCGCUACCUGCUGGCCUUUACUUGGAAUAUAAUCCAAGGCCGAUGGAGACCAUGGGAACCAUCGUAUUUUGGUAUUUUAUGACUUUCUUUCAAAAUCUGUUUGUUCCUGCAGUCAUAAUAAAUCUGGUAUACCUAUUGAAAACAAUUAAGGCCCUACUGAAAUAACUCUGUGAGAAAGGAUCAAAACUGGAUAAUGGAGAACUUAAGCUCUUGGAGGAGAGAUAUGAGGCAAACAUAGCAGAACUUAGAGAACAAAAAGCUGCAAGACCAUAUCGACGAUUGUGUGACUUCUCAGCACCACAAAGAGCAAGAAAAUGAAGAUAUGAAGGUGUUAGCCAGAAAGAGAAUGCACAAACUACAGACAUAUGUCGAGUCCUACCAGAAUGAGAACGCCACUUUGAAGAACCAGGUUGAAAAUGUGCAGUCAGAGAUGGAGCUCUGCCAGAAGGAAAAUGCAUAACUGAAGGACCAGGUUCAAUAUGUAAGUUUCAACAGUCACACGUUGCAAUUUCUCAGUUCUCAGCAUAUUGUAGAUCAUGUUUUAAACAUUAGUGCUGGUGUCAGACCUAAUAAUGGAAAAAAAGAGAGAGAGAGGAAUUAUGUAUCUCUUGUGUCAUUAGUCUGUAAUAAAGGCUAAAGUUGAGAGGCGUCACGCAGAGGACAAACAGAUGGCUCUCAAGGACAAAAUCAAAGAAUUAAAGAAAGAACUGGAAAAUAAAGACGAGUCCGUCGAGACCCAGGUGAGUCUCCUCACCAGGUAGCUUAAGAUCCACUCGCAAGUCAGGGAAGAGUUGGGACAGACAGAGGGAUGUUCACAUAUUUUUAAUACUUUUGAAGACGUGAACAGAGGUAUUAUAUUAUAAUAUGGUUGUAUAUUGUUGUGUUAUUCAUAAAUACACUGGUUUAUUUUUUACAGAUUGCAUCACUCGAAAACAAAGCCCACGAGAGAUUGGUAUGAAUUUUUGGUCAACCAUUACACCAUUUGAAAACAUAGUUUAAAUCGAUGUUCCAAUCCUAAGGUGUCGUUCUUGUUGACACAGAUGAAGGCCUCAGCUCUACAGCGUGAGCUGAUGGACAAGAAGACAG